rnacentral:rRNA from 1 species
AAGAAGCUCGGUCCUGAACUCCACCCUUGAAUAAAUUACCUUUGUUGCUUUGGCGGGCCGCCUCGCGCCAGCGGCUUCGGCUGUUGAGUGCCCGCCAGAGGACCACAACUCUUGUUUUUAAUGAUGUCUGAGUACUAUAUAAUAGUUAAAACUUUCAACAACGGAUCUCUUGGUUCUGGCAUCGAUGAAGAACGCAGCGAAAUGCGAUAAGUAAUGUGAAUUGCAGAAUUCAGUGAAUCAUCGAAUCUUUGAACGCACAUUGCGCCCUCUGGUAUUCCGGGGGGCAUGCCUGUUCGAGCGUCAUUAUAACCACUCAAGCUCUCGCUUGGUAUUGGGGUUCGCGGUUUCGCGGCCCCUAAAAUCAGUGGCGGUGCCUGUCGGCUCUACGCGUAGUAAUACUCCUCGCGAUUGAGUCCGGUAGGUCUACUUGCCAGUAACCCCCAAUUUUUACAGGUUGACCUCGGAUCAGGUAGGGAUACCCGCUGAACUUAAGCAUAUCA